UUGCUACUCCCUUUGUUCAAAAUUACUUGUCACACAAAUGAAUAAAAAUAGAUGUAUCUAGAACUAAAAUACAUCUAGAUACAUCUCUUUCUAUGACAAGUAUUUCCGGACAGAGGGAGUAUAAU
rfam:Hordeum vulgare subsp. vulgare, WGS project CAJW01000000 data, contig: morex_contig_135538